rnacentral:rRNA from 1 species
AGAGCCCGUUAAUGGGUGAUGGCGUGCCUUUUGUAGAAUGAACCGGCGAGUUACGAUUUGAUGCAAGGUUAAGCAGUGAAUGUGGAGCCGUAGCGAAAGCGAGUCUGAAUAGGGCGUUGAGUAUUUGGUCGUAGACCCGAAACCAGGUGAUCUACCCAUGACCAGGUUGAAGUUCAGGUAACACUGAAUGGAGGACCGAACCGACUUACGUUGAAAAGUGAGCGGAUGAGUUGUGGGUAGCGGAGAAAUUCCAAUCGAACCUGGAGAUAGCUGGUUCUCUCCGAAAUAGCUUUAGGGCUAGCCUCAAGUGA